GACUGUACCGGCCAAUCACGAGAGAGGGCGGGAGCAGGUCGCUAUGGCGGCGGGUUCUCCGCCACAGCCUGGCUCGCCAGAGGCUCCGCUGGCCGAGGCCCGGCGUACAGCGGGGCGGGGGAGAUAUCCCGAAGAAAAUUGAAUUUUCUUGUAAGCAAUAACAGUGAACUGUGUGAGCUUUGCGAAACAGAACGUGGCGGCCAGAGAAGGGAGCUGAGAGAGAAACACCACCCUUGCAGUUCUCCACAGAAGGGCCGGUUCCCUGUAACAUAAUGGCACAGGGCAGAGCUGCCACCACUGGGAAAGUGCAGAAGGUGACACGGAAGACACAGACAGAUGAUGCCUGGGAAACACGUGGUGGUACCCCAUGGAGCAAAGUGUCCACCCCACGCAGGACACACAUAGCCCUGUGGCCCUUUCUUGGGGCGGCAGGUGAGGAUGUGAGGAAGAGGCAUGCUCUGCGAGGGGGUUUCCUUACCUUGGCACAAUGGACAAGUCCCAGCUCUGAGCUGCCAGCAAUGCUGCUAUAGCUUUGGGCAAGAGAGGCAAAGCAGAAACAUCUGCUAUCCCAGAUGAGCCAACUUGGCAAAAACUCUAAGGCCUUAAACAUCAGUUUCACAGGCAGAAGACUACAUCUGCAGUACACAAAUGUUUCUAAAAGCAUUUACCAGCUUCAAAAUAAAGAAAUGUCCUCCUACAACAGAUUUGUAACCAAGUUAGCUUGGUACAACUAACAAGCAGGAGCAUGCAAGGUUACAGUGCAUCUAGGAACAUGCAAUGCAAUGCAAUGCCACCUGUAUCCCCACCAGUAUUGGCCUGGAGAGAUGCUGCUGCAGCCCCAGAACACCCCAAAGUGUUCAAGGCAGAGUGGGCACAUACAUAAUUUCAAGCUGCUCUGCUGCAUAUCAGCAUUUGGGAGACACCUAUGGAGCACAGACCCCCACUGCUCAAGCUGCAUCUCAGCAUCCCACCUCUUUUCACUUGAGCUGCUGGUGAAACACCACAUGCCUUUGCUACCUGCCCAUUACCUGGGCAUGCUGUUAGCCAUCCCCUCAAGGUAAAACAUUUCACAAACAGAGGAUGGAGGCACAGAGAAAUCAAGGCUUAAUCUCUCACAAAUGUUGAGGUGUUUAACUCCCAUGGAACAGACACAUAUUUGAGCACUCUAGUACCUUUUGGUAUCUGAUGUAAAAGAGAAUCCUUGGAAAAAAAACACCAAACAACCAGGCAGGAAAAGACUGAGCUAGGGAAUGAAACUUUGAUCUCCACACAGUGCAUUAAUGAGACCUUAAGCCAGUCCUUGCUUUCUGCUCUCUCCCACCCCUCAGUGCUGCAAGAAAUGCCUCUCUAGGACUAUGCAUUAGCCCUGCAGUUUCAGAGCAAAUUCAACAGUUCCCACUAGUUUGGCACGCUUGAGGUUGGAAACUCAAGUCGCAUCAAUAAGAAAAAUAUUUUCUUGUUUUAUUUGGCAAGAGAGAAUGAAUCCUCUAAUACGAAGCAUAAUUCCUGUUAGAGAACUAUUCGCUUUUGACACAUAUGUUUCAUUUGCUUUGCUGCUGCCAGAUUUCCAAGAGAAAUAAAGUUGUAUAAAUACCUGCCAGGAAAGGGAACAAGGCAAAAGCAUAAAAUAUGUCUCCUACAACCCUUCUUCUUACUAAUUACUGCAAACAGGAUGCUUUUAACAAGGAGAGCAAGUGCACAACAUGAAGCAGCAACAAGAGACCCACCGGCACUUAGCUUGGUUUAGGCUCCUCUUUCUUGUGCUUUGCAUGGUCCAGAGCGGGAAGAAUAAGCCUUUCCAUUUUGACCUUACUGGGAUAGAUACUGACAAAUUCCUGGGGCUGGUCACGGUGUUGGACUAAGAACAGUGCUGCAUUCUUCAGACACCGUAAACAGGCCAUGCACGCACAAUGGGAUGUGCUGCUCAAGGCUGCUUCUUGUCUUCAAGCCGUCUGUUUACAGCCAGCAUGACACACUUCUAUUUUCCACCCCAGCGAUAUUAAUAGUGCUGUGUAUUUUGGUGCAAAUUACACCCAAACACCCCUUGCUGUGGCAGUAACCCAGAGAAGAGGGAACAGGAUGGAGAGCCAAGCUGGACGGAUGAUGCAAAGGCAGGAGGCCAGCACAGCAGAGUGCUCCCUGAGGCACGGCUCUCUGUAGAGGGGCUGCCCAGCAGAAAGCCCAGCUAUACUCCACAACGGGGCAUCACUGUUGAAGCAUGCCACAAAUCCCUGGUUUUAAGUUGCUGUGAUGAAGAAAGAGCCUGUGCCUCCCUGAUGUCUUUCAGUCCUGAAAGGAUUAUACCCAACAAUGAUGCCUGACAACAUGGUCCCAGUAUCACCUUCAGAUGAAAGCCUGGUCUAUGGACGAGUUCCACUGCACAACCAGCCACCUGCGAUGAACAGCCAGGCCCUGGGAAGCUGCUGUCAACUCUUGUCUUCAAACCAUUCCCCAAACCCUCUCUCUCCUUGUGAUGUAACUUGGGGCUUGCAGCCAUGCAGAGCCACUGUGAUCGACCCCUGGGGCUGGGGAUGCUGGCCACCCUCGGCAGUGCAAUGGGAGAAUCAUGGGGACCAAGACCUGGCUCCCGGGGAACCACAGCAGCGUGCUGAGCCUCAUCGCCAGCACGAGCUGGAUUUGGGUUCCUGCAGCAGUCACCUGAAAGCAAAAACAUCAGCAGUGAAGGAAGUCAAGCAGCACAGAAAAGGGGGCAAUUUUAGUAAUGUUUUUGAAAAGAUGACCAGUGAUGAGAGGCUCCUACUCUAAAUAAAAGAAACCCACGUGGAAGAUGAAUAUCCUACCUUCCCCUGAAAAGGCACUAAGGGCUCUCACAACACACAUUCAGGACUUCUCACAAAGUCUGGAAGCAAAGGCAGAGAAGAGAGAUCAGCUCUCCCUUACCUGUUCUUUGUAACUUUGGGGAAAGGGUAAAAGCCUGUUAAAAGCUACCUUUCAGCUCCAGCCCACCCCAGGGACCGGGAGGUCUCAGAGGGAGACUAAGGGACCCCAUGCGGCCACUUAAUUACUGAGGGACCAUCCACCUUAACUGAGCAGCUGUUGGGGCAACAGAGCCUGAACUUACAGCCACACCAGGACAAAACACAGCAUGGAGGGGACUGUGACACUUCCUCCUGCUGCUGUUGCUGGCUCUAGCUUGCCUCUUUUGCCCAUGAGGUUUGCAGUGUUCCCCACCAUCUCUUUCUGCAGCUGAGCCAGCCUUGGGGGUCUCUGCUGCCAAAUUCUCCACCCAGUCCCAAGCCCUGUCACUGCCAAGGACAAUUAGGAAACGUUUCCAGUCUUGCCCCUCACAUUCAACAUGUUCUGCAUCUUUGAUCCCCUAAGCCUGUCACUUUUUCCUCUACUCAAUCCCCCACCCAGUUUCCUUUUACGCCUAUCUUCACACCUCGUCUCUCCAGCCCCAUACAGCUACAACCUCUCUAGCUUUGCACAGCUAUGCCUCAGCUCUCCAAAUGCUCAAAUUCCUCCUUGAAAUGUCUUUUCCUUACAGUGUUUUAGCAACAACCCAACCCUCCUUUUCCUCAUCUGUUGAAACCAGAGCAAACUGUAUCAUUACAAGACCAGGGAUCAAUCCAUCCAGCACAAGGGCCAGUCUGAUGAGAAACUUAAUAAGCAGCUCCAUGUCAAGAAGUGACGACUGCAUACUGCAACUGCUUGUUAAACAAAGCAAUCAACAUUGAUGAGAGCAGAAAGUAGAUACUAAUUUAUAAUAGAUGCUCUGGAUACUAGAUAGAUGUAGCCACUUGCAACCCCAAGGGACAUAUUCCAUACCAGGUCCACUAGAGAGACAGUCUCUGGCAAUGAGCAAGUCUCACGUGUGUUGGGCAUUAGUCACAUCACACCUACGAACCCACCAGCUCCUGGGUGAAUUCUUUUUUUCCCCCCCCUUCACAGCUGUGGUGCUCUCCUCUACCUAAGCCUCUGCUCCCUCCUGCCUGUCCAAGACAGUGGGAAGAAAAGAGCUCCUGUUUUCCCAGCCAAACAGGGAAGGCAGAAGACACUAAUUCCUUUCCAGCAGAGGACAACAAAGGGGUAGAUGUCACCACCUCUCCCCCUUUUUAUGGGGGUGGGACCCCACUCGUAAAACCAAUUCUCACCCCUCUCAUUCACUCCACAUCAGCCAGGCCCUGCCCUAGAAGGGAGGUUUUACCCACACUGGCUUACUGUAUGGACUAGUGCGCCUCUACCAAAAGCACCCUCACACCCCAGACGGAACAGAGACCCCCUGAAAACUCAGGGCGCAGUGAGAAACAUGCUGCCUCUUGUAUAACUCAAGUGCACUUCGCCCCUCAAGGUAACGUGGUGAGCGGGCACGCAAGCAAGCACUGCCUAAUGCUGACGUUGGCAAUGAGUCAUCUCAGAGUUGCGCUGGCUUCUUCCCAGCAUGAAAAAGAUCCCUAACAAAAUGCAACACUCAGGCUGCACACAAGACAACCCAGUCUGAAUAAUGCCUGCUCAUCAGUCCCCACACAGAUCUCGGUUCUGGUUCUGCGGAGGUCAGCAAAGGAAAUAGUACAAUGCCAGGGGUCUGUGAAUAUUCCCUCCCUUUCAUUAAGUACCACCAUCGCAUCCCUCAUAGCAAAGGGCAGGACAAACUGCAGCCCAGAACAAGCAUCAUGCAGGAAAUGACUCGAUGGGAGAAGGAUCCAGAGCGUUCACUCCUUCCUUCUUGCCUUAAUACAGUCAACAGUCCUCCUCCAGCUGUAAUAGUUUCCUGUCUGUCCAGCUGCUUUGACUCACUGAGUCACUGCUCACCUGCCUCAGGUUUUUGUCUGGAGAAGAGGAGGCCAGAGGAUAAGAUGCUGCCCAAAAAACAUGGUCCUGGUGUGCUCCUGACCACUUGCUUUCUCAAAACAUGGAGGAGCAAGUUACAGGAUGAAGAAAAAAAAAAAAAGGCAAUGAAACAACAAAAAAAAGGUGCUAGCGAAGGUUAAAACUCAGGGUUAAUGCUCUAGAAAAAAGAGCCUCCUAACAGCAUGGUCACCACCCAAAUACAGCAAGGGCUUUAGAAACACCACUAAGCUACUGCGGUACAAUCCUAACCCUUCAAUUCUGUUAACGCAGUUUCUUGAUAGCUUAAAUAAAAUUUGAGAUUUCCCUUAUCUGUGGACACAGAGGGUAGGAAGUGUCAGUUAGAUGACAGAAAGCACAAGCUGGGUUCGUAUUCAGAACUACACAGAAAUACUCCGGUAACACAGCAGCAGGAGCUCGCAGUGCCAGAAUAAAAUAUUAUCUGUGUGACACUGAGGACCAGUAACUUACUGCCUGAUCUUGUCAUUCCUGGGUCCAAAUCUGGGUCCAGAAGGCCCUCUC